UGGGGAAUAUUGGACAAUGGGGGCAACCCUGAUCCAGCCAUGCCGCGUGCGUGAAGAAGGCCUUAGGGUUGUAAAGCGCUUUUGUCAGGGAAGAUAAUGACUGUACCUGAAGAAUAAGCCCCGGCUAACUCCGUGCCAGCAGCCGCGGUAAGACGGAGGGGGCUAGCGUUGUUCGGAAUUACUGGGCGUAAAGGGCGUGUAGGCGGCUUUGUGUGUCAGGGGUGAAAUCCCAAGGCUUAACCUUGGAACUGCCCUUGAAACUGCGGAGCUAGAGUGAUUGAGAGGCGGACGGAAUUCCGAGUGUAGCAGUGAAAUGCGUAGAUAUUCGGAGGAACAUCGGUGGCGAAGGCGGUUCGCUGGUAAUCAACUGACGCUGAGGCGCGAAAGCGUGGGGAGCAAA
rnacentral:rRNA from 1 species